rnacentral:lncRNA from 1 species
GACGCUAUUCAACUUCUGGUUAUUUGAAAAACUUCCAUGUCCACUGCAUACACAAUUCACAAGGAAACCAAAAUGGGGUCACCAAAUUAAGCUCCAAAUAACAUUAAAAAUCAAAUCUUUGAUGAAAAAUCACUAGGAUGCAUUACCAAUCAUGACCAAGAACAAAGAGAGCCCAAAACAUAGUACUCUGAGCAAACCAAUACAAAGGCCAAACAACCCAAUUGUUGAAAUAAGCAGCCGCAGCUGCCAAUCCAAAUACAAUAGUAACAUCCCUAACAACAUAACUCAUAGAUUUCCAUGGAUUCUUGACCCAACAAUGCUUAGGAAUAGCUGCCCUAAUAUCAGACAACUUAAAUGGUGGGGGUGCCCCUGGGCAACAUCCCUCACAACAUAACUCAUAGAUUUCCAUGGAUUCUUGACCCAACAAUGCUUAGGAAUAGCUGCCCUAAUAUCAGACAACUUAAAUGGUGGGGGUGCCCCUGGGUCAAAAAACUCAUUAUCUGUUGUUCUCUCAUC